rnacentral:rRNA from 1 species
UACGUAGGGUGCAAGCGUUAUCCGGAAUUAUUGGGCGUAAAGAGCUCGUAGGCGGUUUGUCGCGUCUGCUGUGAAAACUGGAGGCUCAACCUCCAGCCUGCAGUGGGUACGGGCAGACUAGAGUGCGGUAGGGGAGAUUGGAAUUCCUGGUGUAGCGGUGGAAUGCGCAGAUAUCAGGAGGAACACCGAUGGCGAAGGCAGAUCUCUGGGCCGUAACUGACGCUGAGGAGCGAAAGCUGGGGGGAGCAAACAGG